rnacentral:rRNA from 1 species
GACGAACGCUGGCGGCGUGCCUAAUACAUGCAAGUAGAACGCUGAAGGAGGAGCUUGCUUCUCUGGAUGAGUUGCGAACGGGUGAGUAACGCGUAGGUAACCUGCCUGGUAGCGGGGGGUAACUAUUGGAAACGAUAGCUAAUACCGCAUAAUAGUAGAUGUCGCAUGACAUUUGCUUAAAAGGUGCAAUUGCAUCACUACCAGAUGGACCUGCGUUGUAUUAGCUAGUUGGUGAGGUAACGGCUCACCAAGGCAACGAUACAUAGCCGACCUGAGAGGGUGAUCGGCCACACUGGGACUGAGACACGGCCCAGACUCCUACGGGAGGCAGCAGUAGGGAAUCUUCGGCAAUGGACGGAAGUCUGACCGGGCAACGCCGCGUGAGUGAAGAAGGUUUUCGGAUCGUAAAGCUCUGUUGUAAGAGAAGAACGAGUGUGAGAGUGGAAAGUUCACACUGUGACGGUAUCUUACCAGAAAGGGACGGCUAACUACGUG